rnacentral:lncRNA from 1 species
UUGCAAAAUCGUCUGGUCUGAACUCAAGUUCCUCUACUUUUAUGCUUCUUUUGGCUGCUGUUGAUGCUUGACAUGGGGAAUGCCAGGAAGGCAUCUAACUACCAUUAUUCUAAUUUUUACUAUGUUUUUAAUUCUGUUCAAUCCCCGUUGUUGGAAAUUUUAACAAGUAGACUUGUACAAGAAAGCACCAAAGAAUGGCAUUAUGUAACUAAAGAUGUCAUAGUACAAAAACCUCCCAAACAUAUUAGCUUUUCAACCCAUCUAUAACUGAACCAAAUUCCAAAUUAAAUAAUAAUUGGCAAAACACAGCGGUGAGUGGCACCAUUUGAGGGGUUGGAAAAAUCCGUGCUUGUUAGUUUUUCUGGCACUGGUUUUGGAUGGUUUAAAAACUACUCAAAAUCAGUGUAGUAUAUUUUUGAGUGGUUCUUCC